rnacentral:rRNA from 1 species
UACGGAGGGUGCAAGCGUUAUCCGGAUUCACUGGGUUUAAAGGGUGCGUAGGCGGGCAGGUAAGUCAGUGGUGAAAUCUUCGAGCUUAACUCGGAAACUGCCGUUGAUACUAUCUGUCUUGAAUUUAGUGGAGGUAAGCGGAAUAUGUCAUGUAGCGGUGAAAUGCUUAGAUAUGACAUAGAACACCAAUUGCGAAGGCAGCUUGCUACACUAUUAUUGACGCUGAGGCACGAGAGCGUGGGGAUCAAACAGGAUUAGAUACC